AAAGAUGAUCAUACCAUGUUGAAAACACCGGUUCUCGUCCGAUCACCGAGAUUAAGCAACAUUGGCCAUAGCUAGUACUUAGGUAGGUAGCUACUUGGGAAAACUUUGUGUCGUUGGCA
rnacentral:rRNA from 1 species